ACGCUGGCGGCAGGCCUAACACAUGCAAGUCGAGCGGUAGAGAGAAGCUUGCUUCUCUUGAGAGCGGCGGACGGGUGAGUAAUGCCUAGGAAUCUGCCUGGUAGUGGGGGAUAACGUUCGGAAACGGACGCUAAUACCGCAUACGUCCUACGGGAGAAAGCAGGGGACCUUCGGGCCUUGCGCUAUCAGAUGAGCCUAGGUCGGAUUAGCUAGUUGGUGGGGUAAUGGCUCACCAAGGCGACGAUCCGUAACUGGUCUGAGAGGAUGAUCAGUCACACUGGAACUGAGACACGGUCCAGACUCCUACGGGAGGCAGCAGUGGGGAAUAUUGGACAAUGGGCGAAAGCCUGAUCCAGCCAUGCCGCGUGUGUGAAGAAGGUCUUCGGAUUGUAAAGCACUUUAAGUUGGGAGGAAGGGCAGUUACCUAAUACGUGAUUGUUUUGACGUUACCGACAGAAUAAGCACCGGCUAACUCUGUGCCAGCAGCCGCGGUAAUACAGAGGGUGCAAGCGUUAAUCGGAAUUACUGGGCGUAAAGCGCGCGUAGGUGGUUCGUUAAGUUGGAUGUGAAAUCCCCGGGCUCAACCUGGGAACUGCAUUCAAAACUGACGAGCUAGAGUAUGGUAGAGGGUGGUGGAAUUUCCUGUGUAGCGGUGAAAUGCGUAGAUAUAGGAAGGAACACCAGUGGCGAAGGCGACCACCUGGACUGAUACUGACACUGAGGUGCGAAAGCGUGGGGAGCAAAC
rnacentral:rRNA from 1 species